rnacentral:rRNA from 1 species
CGUUGCUCUACCGAUUGAUGGCUCAGUGAGGCCUUCGGACUGGCUCGAGGAGGUUGGCAACGACCACCUCAAGCCGGAAAGUUCGUCAAACUCGGUCAUUUAGAGGAAGUAAAAGUCGUAACAAGGUCUCCGUAGGUGAACCUGCGGAGGGAUCAUUACACAAAUAUGAAGGCGGGCUGGAACCUCUCGGGGUUACAGCCUUGCUGAAUUAUUCACCCUUGUCUUUUGCGUACUUCUUGUUUCCUUGGUGGGUUCGCCCACCACUAGGACAAACAUAAACCUUUUGUAAUUGCAAUCAGCGUCAGUAACAAAUUAAUAAUUACAACUUUCAACAACGGAUCUCUUGGUUCUGGCAUCGAUGAAGAACGCAGCGAAAUGCGAUAAGUAGUGUGAAUUGCAGAAUUCAGUGAAUCAUCGAAUCUUUGAACGCACAUUGCGCCCUUUGGUAUUCCAAAGGGCAUGCCUGUUCGAGCGUCAUUUGUACCCUCAAGCUUUGCUUGGUGUUGGGCGUCUUGUCUCUAGCUUUGCUGGAGACUCGCCUUAAAGUAAUUGGCAGCCGGCCUACUGGUUUCGGAGCGCAGCACAAGUCGCACUCUCUAUCAGCAAAGGUCUAGCAUCCAUUAAGCCUUUUUUUCAACUUUUGACCUCGGAUCAGGUAGGGAUACCCGCUGAACUUAAGCAUAUCAAUAAGCGGAGGAAAAGAAACCAACAGGGAUUGCCCUAGUAACGGCGAGUGAAGCGGCAACAGCUCAAAUUUGAAAUCUGGCUCUUUUAGAGUCCGAGUUGUAAUUUGCAGAGGGCGCUUUGGCUUUGGCAGCGGUCCAAGUUCCUUGGAACAGGACGUCACAGAGGGUGAGAAUCCCGUACGUGGUCGCUGGCUAUUGCCGUGUAAAGCCCCUUCGACGAGUCGAUUUGGGGUGGGAUGAUGCA